rnacentral:rRNA from 1 species
AGUGAACGCUGGCGGUAGGCCUAACACACGCAAGUCGAACGAACUCUUCGGAGUUAGUGGCGGACGGGUGAGUAACACGUGGGAACGUGCCUUUAGGUUCGGAAUAACUCAGGGAAACUUGUGCUAAUACCGAAUGUGCCCUUCGGGGGAAAGAUUUAUCGCCUUUAGAGCGGCCCGCGUCUGAUUAGCUAGUUGGUGAGGUAACGGCUCACCAAGGCGACGAUCAGUAGCUGGUCUGAGAGGAUGGCCAGCCACACUGGGACUGAGACACGGCCCAGACUCCUACGGGAGGCAGCAGUGGGGAAUCUUGCGCAAUGGGCGAAAGCCUGACGCAGCCAUGCCGCGUGAAUGAUGAAGGUCUUAGGAUUGUAAAAUUCUUUCACCGGGGACGAUAAUGACGGUACCCGGAGAAGAAGCCCCGGCUAACUUCGUGCCAGCCGCCGCAGUAA